UUAAUGGUGAAAGCGGUACCAAAAUAAAUGGUUUCAUGUAGACAAAUCUUUCAUCGGAGCACUUUGUUUCAGCAAACUUGGAGGCAAAACAAAUGAAUAUCUGUGGACUGUUUGCAUUGAUUCCUUAACUUCAACCUGAAGACUUUGGGAAGUUUCUCAGAAUUUUUUUUUUCAUUCCACCCCACAAAGCUCAGAUUUUUCAACUGAAAGGACACUCUAAUCCUUUUUGCUGAAGGAAGCUCUGAGAGUGGCAGCUCUGGCAAUCAGCUUCAGAGAGCUCUUCACCGUCUGCUCUUACAACAGGAGUGAGGUCUAUGACUUAAGAGCUGAAAGGAAUUAAGAUCUGCAAAACCUUGAGUGGGCUCUCAGGCCAUACUCCUCUUCUAGUUGCAACAUCCUUACCCGAGAGCCAGGAACUAGCAAGAGGAUCUACUUUGAGAGAGAGAAAUUCACCUCAUGAGGGAAAGAAAAAUACAAAUAAUGGAGGACCUGUAAAAAGGGAACCUCUGAGAAGUAAAUCCUGAGGGAGGACUUGAGUGUGGCAGGGGAGGUCACCCUCUUUGCACCAGAGACAAAUUAGGACUGGUACACAAACGAGGGGAUAUAAUCACCUUUCCAUGAAGAAUGACUGUUGAACUGAGACUGCACUAAGAGUACAAUGCACAAGUGAAAACAUCCAUGGUACUGUUAUCCCACAGACUAGGAGAAGUGUGUGCAAUGUGGCUUUGACAAGCUCACAAAGCUAGUGUGGCUGUGAAAUGUAAAAAGGUACCCAGAACAAGGCUAUCGGUGAAGGAUGCGCAGCCCUGCAACCCCUGCCUCUGCCUUGCUAGGAAAUGGAAGAACAAUGGGACCGGCAAAAGCAAACCUCAUCCCUAUUAUUGACCAGGGAACAAAUGCAGCUAUCCUGUUCGCACCCUCAAGUAGUCACCACUAAGAAUUCAGGCAAGGACCCCGUCUACCUGCCUUCAUAAAGCGUAAGCCCACCUGUGCUCACCUGUAGCUAUAUUUCAUAGAGGUGACAAAUGAACAACAAAGUGGAUACAAACUCUUACUAAGCAAAGAUAUUGGGUCAAAUUCUGCCUUCC